rnacentral:rRNA from 1 species
AAUCAACGCUGGCGCCGUGCCUCAGACAUGCAAGUCGAACGAUUAAAGCUCCCUUCGGGGAGUGCAUAAAGUGGCGCACGGGUGAGUAACACGUAAGUAAUCUACCCUCGAGUGGUGAAUAACAAUCGGAAACGGUUGCUAAUACCGCAUAAUGCAGCGGCAUCGCAAGAUGACAGUUGUUAAAGGAGUAAUUCGCUUGAGGAGGAGCUUGCGGCAGAUUAGCUAGUUGGUAAGGUAACGGCUUACCAAGGCUACGAUCUGUAUCCGGUCUAAGAGGACGGUCGGACACACUGACACUGAAUAACGGGUCAGACUCCUACGGGAGGCAGCAGUCGGGAAUUUUGGGCAAUGGGCGAAAGCCUGACCCAGCAACGCCGCGUGAAGGAUGAAGUAUUUCGGUAUGUAAACUUCGAAAGAAUAGGAAGAAUAAAUGACGGUACUAUUUAUAAGCUCCGGCUAACUACGUGCCAGCAGGCCGC